AGUCCUACGGGGGGCAGCAGUGGGGAAUAUUGGGCAAUGGGCGCAAGCCUGACCCAGCAACGCCGCGUGAAGGAAGAAGGCUCUCGGGUUGUAAACUUCUUUUAUCAGGGACGAAGCAAGUGACGGUACCUGAUGAAUAAGCCACGGCUAACUACGUGCCGGCAGCCGCGGUAAUACGUAGGUGGCAAGCGUUAUCCGGAUUUACUGGGUGUAAAGGGCGUGUAGGCGGGAAAGCAAGUCAGAUGUGAAAACCAUGGGCUCAACCUGUGGCCUGCAUUUGAAACUGUUUUGCUUGUGUACUGGAA
rnacentral:rRNA from 1 species